AUCGCUUCUCAGCCUUUUGGCUAAGAUCAAGUGCAGAUUGCCUCAGUCUGCUGUAUGUACUUUCUGUAGAUUUUUUAAUGUCCUGGAUAUCUGUUUGAAUUUGUUUCAUGGAUUCCAUUUCUUUCCUAUGCUGUGCAUUCAUGGCUUCUAUCAUGAUCCUGUG
rnacentral:snRNA from 1 species